rnacentral:rRNA from 1 species
AAAGGAAUUGACGGGGACCCGCACAAGCAGCGGAGCAUGUGGUUUAAUUCGAAGCAACGCGAAGAACCUUACCUAGACUUGACAUCUCCUGAAUUACUCGUAACUGAGGAAGUCCCUUCGGGGACAGGAAGACAGGUGGUGCAUGGUUGUCGUCAGCUCGUGUCGUGAGAUGUUGGGUUAAGUCCCGCAACGAGCGCAACCCCUAUUGUUAGUUGCUACCAUUAAGUUGAGCACUCUAAUGAGACUGCCGCGGUUAACGUGGAGGAAGGUGGGGAUGACGUCAAAUCAUCAUGCCCCUUAUGUCUAGGGCUACACACGUGCUACAAUGGUCGGUACAACAAGAUGCAAUCCCGCAAGGGGGAGCUAAACUUAAAAACCGAUCUCAGUUCGGAUUGCAGGCUGAAACUCGCCUGCAUGAAGUUGGAGUUGCUAGUAAUCGCGAAUCAGCAUGUCGCGGUGAAUGCGUUCCCGGGUCUUGUACACACCGCCCGU